GAAGUCAGUCUCUAAUGUCCCAUGGUCUAAAUCUUGGAAAAGAAGGGGUUAGACCAUCAGACUAUCCAUCAGGUUGUGAACAUACUGUGUGCGUGAGCUGACAUCGUCUAACAGUGCAGAAUCCCCAAAUGGGAAGCCACCAAGCAGGAACACAUCGCCUUGCCAACAUAUCCCUAUGUCCCUUUGUGGAGGACUUGAGGAGAAUCCAAAAGGGUACCUUGGCUGCUGCUAUGAUGUUGAAGGAACAAAUCAAGGACACGAGGUUGAAGGAUGCAGUGUGGCAGAUUUCAAACAGGAGAGCUGCUGAGUACUUUACUACCUUUUGUAUUUUCAAAAUAAGGAUUGCAAUAAUAGAAGAAAUAU